CUAACCUCUGCCGGCGCACUAACUAUGUCUUCUGAUGGUGCUCCUGUCCUUGGCAAUCGCUUCCUGUUCUCCGCAGGUGCUCCUAUCCUCCACAGAUGCUCCACCUCUAUUUUCUGAAGGCACACUACAUCUAACCUCUGCUGACGCACUAACAAUGCCUUCUGACAGCACUCCUGUCCUCCGCAGGUGCUCCCUGUUCUCCUCAGGUACUCCGAUCCUCCGUAGACCCUCCACCUCAGUCCUCUGAUGUCACACUACCUCUAUCUCCGAAUCACGCUCCCAUUAUCUGCAAGCCGUCUGUGUUCUCCGCAGAUGCUCUUGUCCUCUGCAGACGCUCCACAUCUAUCCUCAGACAGCGCACUACCUCUGACCUCUGCCGGCGCACUACCUCUAUCUUCUGACAAUACUCCCAACAUCUGCAGGCACUCCUUGACCUCCGCAGAUGCUCUUGUCCUCUGCAGAUGCUCCAACUCGAUCCUCGGAUGAUGCACUACAUCUAACCUCUGCCAGCGCACUAACUCUGUCUUCUGAUGGUGCUCCUGUCCUUGGCAAUUGCUUCCUGUCCUCCGCAGAUGCUCCACUUAUAUCCUCUGAAGGCACACUGCAUCUAACCUCUGCCAGCGCACUAACUAAGCCUUCUGACAGCGCUCCCGUCCUCCGCACGUGCUCCCUGUUCUCCGCAGGUGCUCCUAUCCUCCACAGAUGCUCCACCUCUAUUUUCUGAAGGCACACAACAUAUAACCUCUGCCGGCGCACUAACUAUGCCUUCUGACAGCACUCCUGUCCUCCGCAGGUGCUCCCUGUUCUCCUCAGGUACUCCGAUCCUAGGCAGACCCUCCACCUCGAUCCUCUGAUGGCACACUACCUCUAACCUCUGCUGGCGCACUACCUCUAUCUUCUAACCACGCUCCCAUCAUCUGCAUGCCGUCUGCGUUCUCCGCAGAUGCUCUUGUCCUCUGUAGACGCUCCACCUCUAUCCUCUGAUGAUGCACUACAUCUAACCUCUGCUGGCGCACUAACUCUGUCUUCUGAUGGUGCUGCUGUCCUUGGCAAUCGCUUCCUGUUCUCCACAGGUGCUCCUAUCCUCCACAGAUGCUCCACCUAUAUCCUCUGAAGGCACACUACAUCUAACCUCUGCUGGCGCACUAACUCUGACUUCUGACAGCACUCCUGUCCUCCACAGCUGCUCCCUGUUCUCCGCAAAUGCUCCCGUCCUCCGCAGACGCUCCACCUCGAUCCUCCGACAGCGCACUACCUCUAUCUUCUGACAACACUCCCGUCAUCUGCAGGCACUCCUUGAUCUCUGUAGGUGUUCCCGUCCUCUGCCGAUGCUCCACCUAUAUCCUCUGAUGAUGCACUACAUCUAACCUCGGCCAGCGCACUAACUCUGUCUUCUGAUGGUGCUCCCAUCCUUGGCAAUCGCUUCCUCUUCUCUGCAGGUGCUCCUAUCCUCUGCAGAAGUUCUAGCUCUAUCCUCUGACAGCGCAGUACCUCUAACCUCUGCUGGUGCACUAACUAUGCAUUCCGACAGUGCUCCCAUCAUCUGCAGGUGUUCUGUGUCCUCUGCAGGUACCCCCAUCCUCCACAGGUGCUCUACCUCUAUCCUCUGAUGGCACACUACCUCUAACCUCUGCUGGCGCACUACCUCUAUCUUCUGACAACGCUGCCAUCAUCUGCCAGCGCUCUGUGUUCUCUGCAGGUGCUCCCGUCCUCCACAGAUGCUCCAUCUACAUCCUCUGAAGUCACACUACAUCUAACCUCUGCCAGCGCACUAACUAUGCCUUCUGAAAGCACUCCUGUCCUCCACGGGUGCUCCCUGUUGGUGGCAGGUGCUCCCAUCCACCGCAGACUCUCCACCUCGAUCCUCUGAUGUCACUCUGUCUCUAACCUCUGCUGGCGCACUACCUCUAUCUUCUAACCACGCUCCCAUCAUCUGCAAGCAGUCUCUGUUCCCCGCAGGUGCUCCUGUCCUCCCCAGACGCUCCACCUAGAUCCUCCGACAGCGCACUACAUCUAACCUCUGCUGGCGCACUAACUAUACCUUCUGACAGCACUCCCAUCCUCCGCACGUGCUCCCUGUUCUCCGCAAAUGCUCCCGUCCUCCCCAGACGCUCCACCUCGAUUCUCCGACAGCGCACUACCUCUAACCUCUGCCGGCGCGCUACCUCUGUCUUCUGACAACACUCCUGUCAUCUGCAGGCACUCCUUGAUCUCUGUAGGUUUUCCCGUCCUCUGCCGAUGCUCCACCUAUAUCCUCUGAUGAUGCACUACAUCUAACCUCUGCUGGUGCACUAACUACGCAUUCCGACAGUGCUCCCAUCAUCUCCAGGUGUUCUGUGUUCUCUGCAGGUACCCCCAUCCUCCACAGGUGCUCUACCUAUGUCCUCUGAAGGCACACUACCUCUAACCUCUGCCGGCGCACUAACUAUGUCUUCUGACAGCGCUCCCAUCCUCCGCAGGUGCUCCCUGUUGUCCUCAGGUGGUCCGAUACUCCGCAGACCCUCCACCUAUAUCCUCUGAUGGCACACUACCUCUAACCUCUGCUGGUGCACUAACUAUGCCUUCUGACAGCACUCCUGUCCUCCACAGGUGCUCCCUGUUGGCUGCAG
rnacentral:lncRNA from 1 species